GACGAACCGUGCGAACGUUAUUCGGAAUCACUGGGCUUAAAGGGCGCGUAGGCGGGCCAUCAAGUCAGGGGUGAAAUCCCACGGCCCAACCGUGGAAGUGCCUUUGAUACUGACGGCCUCGAGGGGGAUAGGGGCGUGCGGAACUCAGGGUGGAGCGGUGAAAUGCGUAGAUAUCCUGAGGAACACCGGUGGCGAAAGCGGCGCGCUGGGCCGACACUGACGCUGAGGCGCGAAAGCUAGGGGAGCGAACGGG
rnacentral:rRNA from 1 species